rnacentral:tmRNA from 2 species
GGGGCUGAUUCUGGAUUCGACGGGAUUUGCGAAACCCAAGGUGCAUGCCGAGGGGCGGUUGGCCUCGUAAAAAGCCGCAAAAAAAUAGUCGCAAACGACGAAACCUACGCUUUAGCAGCUUAAUAACCUGCUUAGAGCCCUCUCUCCCUAGCCUCCGCUCUUAGGACGGGGAUCAAGAGAGGUCAAACCCAAAAGAGAUCGCGUGGAUGCCCUGCCUAGGGUUGAAGCGUUAAAACGAAUCAGGCUAGUCUGGUAGUGGCGUGUCCGUCCGCAGGUGCCAGGCGAAUGUAAAGACUGACUAAGCAUGUAGUACCGAGGAUGUAGGAAUUUCGGACGCGGGUUCAACUCCCGCCAGCUCCACCA